AGUGAACGCUGGCGGUAGGCCUAACACAUGCAAGUCGAACGGCAGCACCGUAAGAGCUUGCUCUUACGGGUGGCGAGUGGCGGACGGGUGAGGAAUACAUCGGAAUCUACUUUUUCGUGGGGGAUAACGUAGGGAAACUUACGCUAAUACCGCAUACGACCUACGGGUGAAAGCAGGGGAUCUUCGGACCUUGCGCGAUUGAAUGAGCCGAUGUCGGAUUAGCUAGUUGGCGGGGUAAAGGCCCACCAAGGCGACGAUCCGUAGCUGGUCUGAGAGGAUGAUCAGCCACACUGGAACUGAGACACGGUCCAGACUCCUACGGGAGGCCACAGUGGGGAAUAUUGGACAAUGGGCGAAAGCCUGAUCCAGCCAUACCGCGUGGGUGAAGAAGGCCUUAGGGUUGUAGAGCCAUUUUGUUGGGAAAGAAGAGCAGCAGGUUAAUACCCCGCUGUUCUGACGGUACCCAAAGAAUAAGCACCGGCUAACUUCGUG
rnacentral:rRNA from 1 species